rnacentral:rRNA from 1 species
GACCUGGCUGGGUGGUCUUUCUGAAUAGGGAAGCACUGCUCUGGCUGGGUCUUUCCUUCUGGGGAUCCGGUGUGCUCUUUAUUGAGUGCAUCGGGAAUCCAGGACUUUUACUUUGAAAAAAUUAGAGUGUUUAAAGCAGGCAGUUGCUUGAAUAGAUUAGCAUGGAAUAAUAGAAUAGGA